GAUCAAGUCAUUAUGAGAUUCUGAACUUGAUUCAUCAAGUCAUUGAUUGUUAACUGGUUUGAGUUGCCUUUAACUCAAAACUUGUUGGCUCUAUGUGCUGUGCUACUAGACUCGCCUAAGGGACUCAUGAGUCACUUAUUUGCCAAGACUUUUCUCCUGAAGAACUUGACAACUUGUUCAGAGUAUGUGCUCGCCAACUAGAAGUUCUUGCCAUAAGAACUCAUUAAGAGUACUAUCAACUAUUCAGAACUCGUACAGAACUCCAAACUCGUAGUAAACUAUAAGCCCAAUUUGCCAGCUAAAUAGCUAGUCACAAGAAGUUCAAUUUAUGUACUUGCCAUGCGAUCAUACUAUGUAACUUUAUAACAUUGAUUUUGAUCCUUAUCUAUAAAAAGAGGUUUAGCAUUCAAGCUCAAAUGUCAUGCAAUUUUAUAUAAUGAGCUAAAAUUUUAUUACAUCAUAGUUUCAUGCUGAAUCUCUCUAAGAUUCUUUUCAGAAUCACUAUUUUUCUCUGGAUUUUCUUUUUAGCUCGGUUUGAUUCAUCUUUCUCAGUCAAUGUGGUUCAAUUGAGCCUAAUAUUUCACUUUAAUAUUUUUUUAACCUUUUGGGUUUGAUUCAUAUUUCUAUUAAGAUUUUGACAUCUUUCCACAUAUAACAUUGAAUCAACCCUACUGCACCACUUUUAGAUUGUUCUUUGUUUCUAGUUAGGUACAGUUGUACAAGUACUUUUUCUUUAAGUGAUUCUAGACUAUCGUUGUAAGACUUGUUUAGAGGCCAUUUUAUGCCUUCUAUUUUAAUAAGAGCAUUUUAGUAGUGCUCUUGGCUUUUAGACUUUCUAUAGUUUCCAAUAAACUGUGUAUAAGUUUAUGAUAGUUCUAAACUUGGAGAAUCUGAAAUAGUAGCUUAUUGAUUGUAAACACUUGAAGAUCUUAAGUGAAAACCUAUCAAUCUUGGAAAAACAGCGGGGAAUAUUCACAAAACUCUGAGGAAAAACUAGAAAACAACAAUGUUAUUGCAAUAAUCAAAGAUAAUGGAAGGAAAAUACCAAGAUACAGUUGAUCCUCAAUUCGAGAGGAGGGUCUAUCUUUCCCAAUCCCUAGAUGCCGCUAGAGCUCAAGACUCCAAGCACCGAGAACACAAAAUCAGCCACAAUUCUCAGAUGUCCUAACCCUAAUACAAACUCCUACUUAAAGAAAAUACAAAAAUAAUAUAAAAUGACUAAACAACUCUCAAACAAUUAGCCCUAGGUAGUGGACCCCAGACCAAGUGGGGCGGGAUUUGGUGCCUGUGGACCAGCAGGCUUGCUGCCUACUGUUUUACAGGAGCCGGCCCACAAGUUGUGUCGGCUAGACUGGUCCAGGGUGGACCGGUACAAGCGUAUCACAUAUUUCAUGGGCCUUGUUGCUGACAACAUAGGUGAGAAGAAGUGUCGCGAAAUCAAUUUUCAACGGCCGAACAUCCUUUUGUGCAUAAAUUUUAGCCUGCAUUGCUUACAUUGAUAGCUUCCAAAUUCUACCUUUUUAAUAGCUAACAUGCUGCCAAUUAAUUUACUAUUUUCUUGCAGAAUAUAAUAAACAAAGCAUUCUGUAAUUGUCUCUCAAACUUUUGUUGCUUGGUCUCUAUACAAUGUCCUUUCAGGAA